UACGGAGGGGGCUAGCGUUGUUCGGAUUUACUGGGCGUAAAGCGCGCGCAGGUGGAUGAACAAGUCGGAAGUGAAAUCUUGAGGCUCAACCUCGAGGCUGCUCCCGAAACUGUUCGUCUAGGGACUGGUAGAGGCUGGUAGAAUUCCCGGUGUAGCGGUGGAAUGCGUAGAGAUCCGGAAGAACACCGGUGGCGAAGGCGGCCUGCUGGGCAGUUGCUGACACUGAGGCGCGAAAGCGUGGGGAGCGAUCCGG
rnacentral:rRNA from 1 species